AACGGGACAGUUGGGUUUAGGAGAAGAAGAAAGGGACAGUUGGGUUAGGAGAAGAAGAACGGGACAGUUGGGUUUAGGAGAAGAAGAGCGGGACAGUUGGGUUUAGGAAAAGAACGGUACAGUUGGGUUUAGGAGAAGAAGAAAGGGACAGUUGGGUUUAGGAGAAGAAGAAAGGGACAGUUGGUUUACGAGAAGAAGAACGGUACAGUUGGGUUUAGGAGAAGAAGAACGGGACAGUUGGGUUUAGGAGAAGAAGAACGGGACAGUUGGGUUUAGGAGAAGAAGAACGGGACAGUUGGGUUUAGGAGAAGAAGAACGGGACAGUUGGGUUUAGGAGAAGAAGAACAGGACAGUUGGGUUUAGGUAAAGAAGAACGGGACAGUUGGGUUUAGGUAAAGAAGAACGGGACAGCUGGGUUUAGGAGAAGAAGAACGGGACAGCUGGGUUUAGAGAAGAACGGGACAGCUGGGUUUAGGAGAAGAAGAACGGGACAGUUGGGUUUAGGAAAAAAAGAA